rnacentral:rRNA from 1 species
GACGUAGGGUGCAAGCGUUUGUCCGGAUUUAUUGGGCGUAAAGAGCUCGUAGGCGGCUUGUUGCGUCGACUGUGAAAACCCGCGGCUUAACCGCGGGCUUGCAGUCGAUACGGGCAGGCUAGAGUUCGGUAGGGGAGACUGGAAUUCCUGGUGUAGCGGUGAAAUGCGCAGAUAUCAGGAGGAACACCGAUGGCGAAGGCAGGUCUCUGGGCCAUAACUGACGCUGAGAAGCGAAAGCAUGGGGAGCGAACAGG